CGACUCUGGUUUCUUUUCAUUACGCACAAGCCUUUCGCCUUUUAAUAAAGACUUCCGUGGAGAGGAACACUUACGAGUUCAACGUAUUUUUGGAAGGGCUUUGUUUUUGGCAGAGCC
rnacentral:snRNA from 8 species